rnacentral:rRNA from 1 species
GACGAACGCUGGCGGCGUGCUUAACACAUGCAAGUCGAGCGGUAAGGCCCUUUCGGGGGUACGACGAGCGGCGAACGGGUAGGAGUAACACGUGGGUGGACCUCGCCCUCCAGCUCUGGGAGUAAGCCUGGGAAACCGGGUACGUAAUACCGGAUAUGACUCCAUGACGCAUGUUGUGGGGUGGAAAGCCUUGUGCGGCUGAGGAUGGGCCCGCGGCCUAUCAGCUUGUUGGUGGGGUGGAUGGCCUACCAAGGCGACGACGGGUAGCCGGCCUGA